AUUGAACGCUGGCGGCAGGCCUAACACAUGCCAGUCGAGCGGAUGAAGGGAGCUUGCUCCUGGAUUCAGCGGCGGACGGGUGAGUAAUGCCUAGGAAUCUGCCUGGUAGUGGGGGAUAACGUCCGGAAACGGGCGCUAAUACCGCAUACGUCCUGAGGGAGAAAGUGGGGGAUCUUCGGACCUCACGCUAUCAGAUGAGCCUAGGUCGGAUUAGCUAGUUGGUGGGGUAAAGGCCUACCAAGGCGACGAUCCGUAACUGGUCUGAGAGGAUGAUCAGUCACACUGGAACUGAGACACGGUCCAGACUCCUACGGGAGGCAGCAGUGGGGAAUAUUGGACAAUGGGCGAAAGCCUGAUCCAGCCAUGCCGCGUGUGUGUAGAAGGUCUUCGGAUUGUAAAGCACUUUAAGUUGGGAGGAAGGGCAGUAAGUUAAUACCUUGCUGUUUUGACGUUACCAACAGAAUAAGCACCGGCUAACUUCGUG
rnacentral:rRNA from 1 species